GGCGGGGAGGGACCCCACCCCACCCCGAGUGACGGGAUUGCUCCAGAGCCCCCGCCUCCUCCCGCGGCGGCUGCCAACAUGGCUGCGGCCGCCUCCGCUGCCCAGGACGAGCUGAAUGGAUAAACAGUGAACUACACUGAUGAGGCCGAACAUCCAGAAGGGUUUAUUUUGUUGUUUUAAUUGAAGAAAUGAUAAGAGACGG
rnacentral:lncRNA from 1 species